rnacentral:rRNA from 1 species
GGACAGUUCUGGCUCAGAUUGAACGCGGCAGGAUCUUGCACAUGCAAGUCGAACGGCAGCACGGACUUCGGUCUGGUGGCAGGUGGCGAGCAGGUGAGUAAUGUCGGAACGUGCCUAGUAGCGGGGGAUAACUACGUAGCGUAGCUAAUACCGCAUACGCCCUUCGGGGAAAGCGGGGGACGCUGGGCCUCGCACUGUUAGAGCAGCCGAUAUCGGGUUAGCUAGUUGGUGAGGGUAACGGCUCCGCAGGCGGCGUCCGUGGCUGGUUUCGAGAGGACGACCAGCCACACUGGGACCUGAGAUACGGCCCAGACUCCACCACGGGAGGCAGCAGUGGGGAAUUUUGGACAAUGGAAACCCUGAUCCAGCCAUCCCGCGCGUGUGCGAUGAAGCCUUCAGGUUGUAAAGCACUUUGGCUGAGGAAAGAAACGGCGCAGGAUAAUACCCCGUGCAACUGACAGCCUGCAGAAUAAGCACCGGCUAACUACGUGCCAGCAGCCGCGGUAGCCGUGGGGUCUGGCGGUCUUAAUCAGGUUACUGGGCGUAAAGCGUGCAGACGGUUCGGAAAGAAGAUGGCGAAAUCCCAGGCAACUUUUGGAACUGCGUUUUUAACUGCGAGUAGAGAGUGUGUCAGAGGAGGUGGAAUUCCGUAACAGUGAAAUGCACGUAGAUAUGCGGAGAGACACCGAUGGCGGGCGGCCUCCUGAAUAACACGCUGACGCUCUGUACGCGGCGGUAGAGGAGCAAGCAGGUUGAUCGCCUGGUAGUCAACCUCGACGAUGUCAACUAGCUGUUGGGGCCUUCGGGCGCUUGGUAAGCAGCCGCCGCGUGAAGUUGACCGCGCAGGAAGUGGUCGCAGAUUAAAGGCUCAAAGGAUCUGACGGGAUUACUACAGCGGUGGAUGAUGUGAUUAAUUCGAUGCAACACGCGAAAACCUUGCCUACCUUGGCAUGUGGAGUCCCGAAAGGUUGGGGUGCUCGCAAGAGAACCGGAACACAGGUGCUGCAUGGCUGUCAUCAGCUCGUGUCUGGUGAGAUGUUAGGUUAAGUCCGCAGCGAGCGCAGCCCUUGUCGUUAGUUGCUACGAAGGCACUCUCGUGAGACUGCCGGUAGACAAACCGGAGGAAGGUGGGGAUGACGUCGUCCUCAUGGCUCCCUUAUGGGUGGGGCUUCACGUCAUACAAUGGUCGGGACAGAAGGUCGCCAGCCCGCGAGGGGAGUAAUCCGAAACCCGAUCGUAGUCCGGAUCGCAGUCUGCAACUCGACUGCGUGAAGUCGGAAUCGCUAGUAAUCGCCGGAUCAGCAUGUCGCGGUGAAUACGUUCCCGGGUCUUGUACACCAGCCGUGCCUUAGGGUGGGUUUGCACCGAAGUAGUUAGCCUAACCGUAAGGAGGCGAUUACCGAUGAUUCGCGGCUGGUGAAGUCGUAACAAGGUAG